CAAAAGAUAAGCUAAUUCAAGCUAAUGGGUUCAUACCCCGUCUAUGUGAACAAGAUUUCACUCUUUUUA
rnacentral:tRNA from 1 species